rnacentral:lncRNA from 1 species
AAAGACAGAUUAGAGAAUAAGGAUAAUAUUGAGGGAGAAAUUUUAAUUUUUUUCCUGGUUGGUGGUUGAUAACCGUAUUGGCAUCUUUUGGAAACAUCAAGGACAAAUGGUUUCACCUUUUUGGGUCCACUAUAAGUGGACGUCACCUUUGUAACUUUGAUGAUUUUGGUUUUAUUAUAGAUAUGCUCUUAGAUUUGUAAAUUUUUUUACAUGUGCGGCACCCCUUUGGUGCCUACACUCAAUAUAUUCCUUACUCUUUUAUCUCAAAAAAGCCGUGUUGGCAUCUUCGG